GUCCUCUGCCAUGACUUAUGGGCUUUCCUCUGAUUUUAGAGAGAGAGAGAGAAAGAAAGAGAGAAUGAGGGGGAAGGCAUGGUUGUGUGCAGUUUGUGGGGUUGGCCGAUCAGGAAAGGGUGACUGAGGGAAGUCUGGGUGACUUUGAGGGACUGAUGGAUUGGAGAGAGAUGAGAGCUACAGGAAAAUAAUUGCAGAAAGGGAACGUACUUGCCACCAAGGCUGCAAUAAAAUCUGCACCCACAACUGGAGGAGUCAAGACCCCUAACCAUUACCACCCUGGAACCGUCGCUCUUUGAAGGGUUAGCGUUGGAGUUGGAAAUAAGUAGGACUUUGUAUGGAUUAUUCUCUCCUUUCCCUGCAUUAGAAGGUCAUCAGUGCCCUUUUGCCUCCAAAGUUUCCAAACUAACUGAACUCAUGUCCCUCAGGCCCAUUUCUCCUCCUUGACUUGCUGUGAAGAAGCUCAACUUCUCAGGCGGAAUCACCAUCACCACCCAACAAACCCAAGUGGGGGAAUUUCGAUUACUGUUCUUGGAGGGAGGUGAACUAUAUGCAUGGUUUUUUGGGAUGAGUUAGGAAUAUCCACCUGAAAACAGCAUGGAAGAUAAAGAACUGGGGUUCUAAGCCAUACAUUUCAAUCAAACCUUUGGGUGAAUAAUAUGGUAUACGAGAUUGAUCGAAGAGAGCAACAAAUUAUAGGAGGAGUGUUGGUAAAAAAUUUAAGGGAACUGGUUAAGGCUCGACACGAUGAACAAAAUCGAGGGACAUUAGUGAGAUAUUAUGACACUGCUCCGGGACCUAGUACAAAGAGAGCAGUGAAAAUAGAAAAAACAAGAAUGGGUUUGCGUGUUUAUGGUAGGGGUGCAAACAAAAACAAGUUGGUGGUCCAUACCACAUAUCCACCUACAAAUCGUAGUAAUCUACCAAAAGAAAAGGUUUUGUCGGAUAAAAAACCUUUGCAACAUUUUUUGGGGUUUUUCAGUGGGAUUUACAACUUUAGUGGCUGGAAAAAACUUGGAUUUUUGUUGCUCUUGCUUGCCUUUGCUGCAACGGCCGUUUGGGUUUUAAAUGUCUAAAGACGGGAUGGGUUUUAGAUAAGAUAAACGCAAUGUAAACUUUUUUUGUUUGGUCAUAAGGGCGAUACUGUAAACAAUUAAGCCUUUAACCGUUUUAAGGAUAAAGUAUUGUUAAUACGUUUUUUUGCAACUUUUUGGUACACUUCUAUCUCACUAAUGAAUGUUUUCUGCUGACCCUUUUAUCGUUUUAAGGAUAAAGUAUUGUUAA